CGGGGUGUAGCUCAGUGGUAGAGUCUGAACUUUGGGGGUUCAGUGUCGGGAGUUCGAAUCUCCCCACCCCGACCA
rnacentral:tRNA from 1 species